rnacentral:rRNA from 1 species
UACAGAGGGUGCAAGCGUUAAUCGGAAUUACUGGGCGUAAAGCGUGCGUAGACGGUUACAUAAGUCGGGUGUGAAAGCCCCGGGCUCAACCUGGGAAUUGCAUUCGAGACUGCGUAGCUAGGGUGCGGAAGAGGGAAGCGGAAUUUCCGGUGUAGCGGUGAAAUGCGCAGAUAUCGGGAGGAACACCGGUGGCGAAGGCGGUUCUCUGGGCCUGACCUGACGCUGAGGAGCGAAAGUGUGGGGAGCGAACAGG